rnacentral:rRNA from 1 species
GGGUUGUGAGGUUAAGCGACUAAGCGUACACGGUGGAUGCCCUGGCAGUCAGAGGCGAUGAAGGACGUGCUAAUCUGCGAUAAGCGUCGGUAAGGUGAUAUGAACCGUUAUAACCGGCGAUUUCCGAAUGGGGAAACCCAGUGUGUUUCGACACACUAUCAUUAACUGAAUCCAUAGGUUAAUGAGGCGAACCGGGGGAACUGAAACAUCUAAGUACCCCGAGGAAAAGAAAUCAACCGAGAUUCCCCCAGUAGCGGCGAGCGAACGGGGAGCAGCCCAGAGCCUGAAUCAGUGUGUGUGUUAGUGGAAGCGUCUGGAAAGGCGCGCGAUACAGGGUGACAGCCCCGUACACAAAAAUGCACAUGCUGUGAGCUCGAUGAGUAGGGCGGGACACGUGGUAUCCUGUCUGAAUAUGGGGGGACCAUCCUCCAAGGCUAAAUACUCCUGACUGACCGAUAGUGAACCAGUACCGUGAGGGAAAGGCGAAAAGAACCCCGGCGAGGGGAGUGAAAAAGAACCUGAAACCGUGUACGUACAAGCAGUGGGAGCACGCUUAGGCGUGUGACUGCGUCCCUUUUGUAUAAUGGGUCCGCGACUUAUAUUCUGUAGCAAGGUUUACCGAAUAGUGGAG